ACGGGAGGCAGCAGUGGGGAAUAUUGCACAAUGGGGGAAACCCUGAUGCAGCGACGCCGCGUGAGCGAUGAAGUAUUUCGGUAUGUAAAGCUCUAUCAGCAAGGAAGAUAAUGACGGUACUUGACUAAGAAGCCCCGGCUAACUACGUGCCAGCAGCCGCGGUAAUACGUAGGGGGCAAGCGUUAUCCGGAUUUACUGGGUGUAAAGGGAGCGUAGACGGUCGGGCAAGUCUGAUGUGAAAGCCCGGGGCUCAACCCCGGAACUGCAUUGGAAACUGUUUGACUAGAGUGCAGGAGAGGUAAGUGGAAUUCCUAGUGUAGCGGUGAAAUGCGUAGAUAUUAGGAAGAACACCAGUGGCGAAGGCGGCUUACUGGACUGUAACUGACGUUGAGGCUCGAAAGCGUGGGGAGCAAACAGGAUUAGAUACCCUGGUA
rnacentral:rRNA from 1 species